AGAGGCUCGCACCAAGAAGGACAGCAAACACAUCCGAGCAUGGGGGAGUUAAAGAUUUUGUCAAGGUCACUCAAGUUGACAUCUGGUGGCAGGUGUCAAUCAGGACCCAGACGUUCUUAUUCUCAGCUUCAUUUCACCAAAUAGACUCUCCCAGGACCCUCCAUUGCAGGAAUCAGGUCCUGUCUCAUGAGUGUUUGUCCACCAGAGACACAUCUGGAACUGCUCUGUUUAGGGGGAGUUGCUAGACGUUCGCAGAAGUGUUUCCAAAGCGUUUUGCAGAAGAGAGAGAUCAAUCCUGUCUAUGAGAACACCCGUGCCACCCAGCUCCAUUGUUACUGCAUGUGGCCAUUCUCAGCCAGAAUCACCACCGACACAAAUCUUCUCCAAUUCGAUGGGGGAGAGAAACACUGCAUCGUGAUUGUUUCUGUUUUUUGCGGCUUUGAUUGACUGGGCACCGGGGUCCACGCUUCCUGGCUUACUAAUUGCCUGUGUGCCCUGAUUCUGCUGCGAGUUGCCUAUUCCUGUUCUUCACUCAUUUCCUUAUCAUAGGGCAUCUGCUGUUUUGUUGGUGAGCAAGUCUGCUUCAGCAGAACCGGGGAGAACGCAUUCUAGAAUUAAAAUGCUAACUUUCUGGAUGCUGCAACCAUUCGACUGUGGACUUUUGCCCGUCAUUAAGCAGCACUGCUAUUUUUAAAUCUUUGCCUUCCCCGUGGUUACCCCACCAACUCACUUCCUCCUAAUUAUGUGUAUCUGCCUUAUUUUUU
rnacentral:lncRNA from 1 species